GUUGCGGACCCGCCUUAACCAGGCUUUGGUCCGGAGCCUUUUGCUCCGCUGGCAGCUGUGGGGUGCCUGACCCGUUAGUGGGAUGCAGGCUUGUGGAUUCCCCACUUUGGGGAGAAGGAGCCUCCCGCGGCCUCUGGGCCCAGGGCAGCCCUGUAACUCAGGGUGCUGAUGCUCUGGUUCCCUGGGCACUUGAAAUUGUCAAUGGCUCCUCGGAGCCCCCCUGUAAGCCAGGGGUCCAGGCUCUUGGGCCGUUGCUGUGUGUGCCCAGCUUUCAUUUGCCCUUGGUGCCAGCCUUGGAGCCCUGCCGCAGCGCCGCAUGAAGGUCCUCUGCGUGUACAACACGCAGCCAGCGCAGAAGAAGGAGGAGGCGUCGUGUGGAACGGCGAGGCAAGAGCGAGCGGCAGAUGGAAGACGGGCAAAGAGGAGGACACCCUGGGCAAAGGCUUCGCCCUGUUAGCGGGGCUGUAGGUAGAGGAGAGCAGUGCUGGCACAUGAGGUGCCUGGAUUGUUUUGUGCUGGGCGACCUCCCUGUAAGCAGGGCUCGGGUCUUUGCGAUUGUAAUCGGCCUUUUGCCUUGUUGCUCCUUUGGCUGCCUGGGGGGAGCGGCCCCCUGUAAUCAGGGGCACAGCUGCUCUCUCCGCACCCGGGAGGACUGUGGAGCUUGCCGGACCCCAGGGCCUCCCUGUAGUCAGGGCAGAGCCAAUUCCCCACCCCCUUAAUUUUAGCCGUCUGGCUCUUUGUCUAAACUAUUUGUCUAAACGUGAUGGACUAUGGAAACUUAGUAUAUGACUGAUGCCUACGCUAUAAUGCCAACUAUUGCAUAAAAAGCAAUAUAAAAGCGAUAUAUAUAUAUAUAAUAUGGCCUAUAUGAAUACUGUGAAAACAGAUUCUCUAAAGGAGAUGAACGAUAAAUUAUGAUGCAUGCUGUGUUUCAGCACCCCGUAGCUGGGGUGCGUUGUCCAAUUGGGUCUCGGCAGAAGCCGUUUCGGCUUCUGGACGUCUCUGGCAUCACUGUAAUUGAUGGUGCGUGGGGUACCGCCCUGUAAGCAGGGUCAAGCGUAGCCCCGUGUCUCUCCCUGCAAGGAGCCCCCUGUAGCCAGGUGGGUCUCCGUGUCCCCCGCUUUCCAUGGGCCUGGGGCCACUAGAAGUAGGGCCGGGUUUUCACCCUCCCUGUAAGCAGGGCUUGGGGCCCGAGCCUCGGCAUUUGGCCAUCUGGCUCCGCUGGCGGGGGAAAGGUUGAGCUCUGCGGUUCCAUGGGUGUUGCGGACCCGCCUUAACCAGGCUUUGGUCCGGAGCCUUUUGCUCCGCUGGCAGCUGUGGGGUGCCUGACCCGUUAGCGGGAUGCAGGCUUGUGGAUUCCCCACUUUGGGGAGAAGGAGCCUCCCGCGGCCUCUGGGCCCAGGGCAGCCCUGUAACUCAGGGUGCUGAUGCUCUGGUUCCCUGGGCGCUUGAAAUUGUCAAUGGCUCCUCGGAGCCCCCCUGUAAGGCAGGGGUCCAGGCUCUUGGGCCGUUGCUGUGUGUGCCCAGCUUUCAUUUGCCCUUGGUGCCAGCCUUGGAGCCCUGCCGCAGCGCCGCAUGAAGGUCCUCUGCGUGUACAACACGGUAAGAAAAGCUGCUUUCGGUUGGCCUUGUCCUCUUCUCCGUUUGCUGUAACCUCUGAGGUUGUCUUUUUUAGGGUGGUUGUUAUGAGGAGCUGCCUUGGGUUUCCUUUUACCUUUAGUUACCAGAUUGAGAACUGUGUUGUAAGCUCUAACUGUUUUGCCUUUGGUUUGCAACAGCGUAUGGAGAAGAAAGAAAUAACAGAAUUCUAGGGCUUGGGAGCGACCUCAAGAGGCCAUCGCAUUCAACACCGUUAGCAAAAAAGGUUCCCUUGAUGAAAUGUCAUAGGGAGGCAUCCAUACAAGUCAAAAAUAACUGCAGAGAAGGUAGCUGAGCAGCCUCGUGCAGUAUUCCGUCACCUUCCACCAUAGUGGUACAGAACUUCCUCUGCUCCAUUCU